rnacentral:ncRNA from 1 species
CCGGACAUAGUCAUGAUUGACAGGUGAAAAGAUCUUUCUCGAUUCUAUGGGUGGUGGUGCAUGGCCGUUCUUAGUCGGUGAGGUGACUUGUCUGGUUAAUUCCGUUAACGGACGAGACCUCGGCCUGCUAAAUAGUGGUAGUGUAUUUAUACGCUACGCACUUCUUAGAGGGACAAUGAGAGUUCAUCUCAAGGAAGUUCGAGCCUAUAACAGGUCUGUGAUGCCCUUAGAUGGCCUGGGCUGCACGUGCGCUACAAUGGUAGAAACAGAUAGUCAUUUCUGUAUCGAAAGAUAUGGGGAAUCUGUGAAAUUCUAUCGUGAUUGGGAUUGAUCAUUGCAAUUAUUGAUCAUAAACGAGGAAUUCCUAGUAAGUGCAAGUCAUUAUCUUGUGCUGAUUGCGUCCCUGCCCUUUGUACACACCGCCCGUCGCUUCAACCGAUUGGAUGAUCCGGUAAAUUUUGUGGACAGCUAUAUAGCUUCGGCUAUGCUGAAAACGACGUAAGCCUUAUCAUCUAGAGGAUGAAGAAGUCGUAACACGGUAUCCGUAGGUGAACCUGCGGAUGGAUCAAUC